UACGAAGGGUGCAAACGUUGUUCGGAAUUACUGGGCGUAAAGGGCGCGUAGGCGGCCUUCUAAGUCAGACGUGAAAUCCCCCGGCUUAACCUGGGAACUGCGUCUGAUACUGGGAGGCUUGAGUAUGGGAGAGGGAUGUAGAAUUCCAGGUGUAGCGGUGAAAUGCGUAGAUAUCUGGAGGAAUACCGGUGGCGAAGGCGGCAUCCUGGACCAUUACUGACGCUGAGGCGCGAAAGCUAGGGGAGCAAACGGG
rnacentral:rRNA from 1 species